rnacentral:rRNA from 1 species
CAGUCGCCGCGGGAAUACGGAGGAUGCGAGCGUUAUCCGGAUUUAUUGGGUUUAAAGGGUGCGUAGGUGGGCUAUUAAGUCAGUGGUGAAAGUUUGUCGCUCAACGAUAAAAUUGCCGUUGAAACUGGUGGUCUUGAGUAUGGAUGAAGUAGGCGGAAUGCGUGGUGUAGCGGUGAAAUGCAUAGAGAUCACGCAGAACUCCGAUUGCGAAGGCAGCUUACUAAGGCAUAACUGACACUGAAGCAUGAAAGCGUGGGUAUCAAACAGGAUUAGAGACCCCAGUAGUCCCUGUCUCUUAUAC